rnacentral:snoRNA from 1 species
UGCACUGUUGUGAUGAGCCUUAAUAUCUCGUAUUGGCUUCAUUAUUCUUUUCUAUUCACUGCUGUGAUAAGCCCUAACAUGGAAGAAGGCCCAGAGAUUGCUCCUGUUUUUCUGUGAAAUACUCCUGUUACGCUUGGCUUCUGAGCGGCAGCA